ACGGCUGUUUCCUGUCCUGGUGCAUGGUGGUCGGACGAAGGAAUUGUUGGAAAAUUUUCUCGGAGGUAGAAGAUGUUGUUAGCCCAAAUAAAUCGAGAUUCUCAGGGAAUGACAGAGUUUCCUGGAGGAGGGAUGGAGGCGCAACAUGUUACGCUGUGCUUGACAGAGGCAGUCACCGUGGCAGAUGGUGACAACUUAGAAAAUAUGGAAGGCGUAAGCUUGCAAGCAGUAACACUUGCAGAUGGUUCUACUGCUUACAUACAACACAAUUCUAAAGGAUCACUGGAUGUGUUAUUGAAUUGCCUCAGAACAUUGAGGGAAGAAUCAAGAUGAACACGAGCUUAAGUUGUAUGCAAAACUCAUAGAUGGCCAGGUCAUUCAGUUGGAAGAUGGUUCUGCGGCCUAUGUUCAACAUGUACCCAUACCUAAAAGUACAGGGGACAGUUUGCGUCUAGAGGAUGGUCAAGCAGUACAGUUAGAAGAUGGUACCACAGCAUUUAUUCACCACACCUCCAAAGAUAGUUAUGACCAGAGUGCAUUACAGGCGGUUCAGCUGGAAGAUG
rnacentral:lncRNA from 1 species